UAAUACGUAGGGAGCAAGCGUUGUCCGGAAUUACUGGGCGUAAAGGGCGCGUAGGUGGAUGCUUAAGUCAGAUGUGAAAACUCUGGGCUCAACUUGGAGAUUGCAUUUGAAACUGGGUAUCUUGAGGGUAGGAGAGGAAAGUGGAAUUCCUAGUGUAGCGGUGAAAUGCGUAGAUAUUAGGAGGAACACCAGUGGCGAAGGCGACUUUCUGGACUAUACCUGACACUGAGGCGCGAAAGCGUGGGGAGCGAACGGG
rnacentral:rRNA from 1 species